ensembl:lncRNA
AGGACGGAAUGUUCUUUACUUGAGCUGUCCAAUGUGGCAACUACAAGCCACAGCCAUGUGUGUACAAGGAUACUUGAAAUGUGAUAGUGUGACUCAGGAAUUGACUUCAUAAUUUUAUUUCAUCUUAAUUAAUUUAAGUGUGAAUUUUAAAAGCCACAUGUAGCGAGUGGCUACCAUGUUGGACAGUACAGCUCUAGAACGCAGAACCCUGCUAGAUGCAUCUCGAAAUAUCACCGAGGCCAGUAACCAGCGGGCCCGGUUUGCCUCAGCUCUCGGCGUGAAGGUCUCGCAGAUGUCAGCUGCCUGGACAUCCACAUGAAGCAGGCUGCCCCUCGGGAAAGAGAACACAUGGGUUCAGAGAGGUGUUGGCUGCACGGGCCCUUCUACAAGCUGGCGUGGGCUUGGGCUGCGCACUAUGUGUGGUGGGGCUCUGCUCCCCCGACAAGUCCUGGCCGCUGUCAGUUCAUGAUCAUUUUAGAGAGUGUUUAGUUUCCCUCCACUCCUUCUCUUCCAACUGCCCUUCCCCAAGCCCAGAGCACAGCGGACAUCCCAAGGUUGCCCCCUCAGGUUUGCCAGGACAGCUUCAUCGGAGAAUAGAAAUAGUCAUUCGCCUGCUCAAAGUCACGUCAGGACAGAGCUGAGAGAGAGCUUCAAAAUCAUUUUUUCAAAGCCUUCUGUUUUACAGCUGAGAGACCAAGGCCCGGAGAGGUGACCAGUACUGUCCUUGGCCUCUUUGCCCAGGACACUGACCCACUGAGCCCACAGAUGGGGCAGGAACACGUGUGCAAGCGAGAAGAACAAGAGCCAUCUGGCCGAGGUUAGGCACUCCUUCUGCCUCAUCGUGUCCAUACAGUAAUUUCCUAAAAUUGAAGAUGAGAAAGAGCUCCUGCGAGCUAUGAGGCCUGAAAUGACAGCACCGAGGUCUGGAAAUCACCUCACCCAGUCUCCUAAUUGCACAGAUGAGGAAUCCACCGGCCUUGCCAAAGAUUACAAAGCUGGUGAGACAGCCUGGAUUACAAACCAGUCUCAGAGGUGCUCUGAUAUGUUUGUUAAGCUGAAGAAGGCACAGAUUACAGGGAACUCUAGUCAUAUCUGAAAGACCCUGAUUUUACUUUCUGCUUAACAUAGGACUCAAUCCUGAUGUGUUCUUUCGUUGUUAACAAAUUUAGUGACUCAGUUGCUUUGGAAACAAAAUCACUCCCAUUAUUGCAGAGGAUCACUGACUGUCAGGUGCCAUUUAUGCUUCUAUUCUCCUGGGAUGUUUGGACUUGGGCAACUUGUCUUCCUGCUCUUCCAUGCUCAUAGCAGAACCACACUGUUCUGUUCUGAAUAGAAAUGCUCGUGUCUGUUCUGGUUUAAAAUUCAUCAUCAGCUGAGGGAACGAAUGUUACCGACACCAACCAAACCAUCAAAUUUGAGUAUGGGAGCGUUCAUUUCUCUUUGCUGCUCAUUCCCACAAGUCAGCACAUGGCCUGCCGUUCAUCUGAGCCGUUACUGGUUCCAAAGCAACUGUGGAUUACUUCUGGGGCAACAGGGUCCCAAAUAGCAAUGAGAUUUCUCAUCACAUCAAGAAUAUGCCAUACAAUGUACCACACACUUCUGGCAUACAAUUUUUGGUGACUUAUGAUGUCUCAGCCUAAUGGCUGCACAUAGCCAUGCUGCUGGCAGGUAAAAAAAGGCCACUCACUUGUUUUAACUUAAACCUCAAAGAGUGUGUGCAGCCCAUUUAUCAAUCGGUAAUAGAAUGUUCAUGUUCUGGCAAGCUAUUUUUCUAAUUGCAGGAGCCAAAACAACCUGCCAGACAUCGGUGAGUUUUUUUAACUUUAUAUACACACAGCAAGAUUGUGUACAGAAAGGGAAUUUUUGAAUUUCCAUGUAAGUGAUUCUAAUUUUUUGCUACUCUCCCUGCUGCAGCAAAGGAUGACUGAUAGCCUAUCUCUAUAUAUCUCUUUUCUCCAGGGCAACAUUUCUCUGUAAGAGCUAAUCUUUGGUGUGGUUGCAGCUUACAGAGGCUUAUUAGAUGUGCCCUCGGGAGCAUACUUAUUUAGAAUAGGCCUCUCAUUUUCAAGUUCAUCCUCAGCAAGUAUAAGAGUUGUAGAAGCUUUACCUUUUAGGAGUUGUGGCUUGAUUUUGCAGCAAUGCUGAAGUGCAGCUGCCAGCCAUGAAGACUAUCUAGAAUGCACUUUUAUCAGCCUUACCUACAAACAAAUAGACAAAUUAGAACCCAGACACAGAAAUAUUAUUUGCUCUGACCUGGGAAAACCACUCAAGCGUUUAAUUUACUAAGUUGGCAUGUUUUUCUCCUCUCAUUCUGUUACCGAUUUCACUUCCUUUGGCUGCUUUUCUUUUUAUUCUGUCCUUAUUUUCAAGGAACAUGCAGAAUAUCGAUAAGGUAACUCCAUACUCUUUGACCAUUUCACUUUUCGACUUUUCUUUCUUACUAACUUUUAGCUCUAGAAAAAUUGUGAGCUUAGUACAUUUUCUCUUUAAUAUCAUGAUCAGAACUCAAUGCAUGAAGUAUAACGGAAAUGGCUUGCUUACCAGAACAUGAACUUUCUAGUAAUGGCAAGCCUGAGAAGGCUGGCUUGGUGUGGGACUGAAAGUGCAGUACUGACAAGACAAUGCAUUUUCUCAAGUUUAGGAUUGCAAAGCUGAUGUCAAAUUUCAAAGAAAGGGCUAAUUUUAAUAAUCCUAAUAACCAACUCAAAAAUAAAAUCCCUCAUUUUAUUAAGGAAACCUAAUGACUUUGAGGUAGAUGAUGCUGUUAUCAGAUAAUGAAAUAAGCAGGUGUAAGAUGUAAAAAUAACUAAAGAAAGAAAAUACUGAAUUGAAAUUAUCUUCCUUUAAAUUCAGAUGGAAAAUUAAGAACACUUCCAAUUCAAAGUUCGAAGCACAAAAUCCAGGUACGUCAUGUUGUGGACUUGCUUCUUUAAUUGGAGAUGAACUCGGUAGCCGAUGGAAAGAAUCCACACUCUAACAGAACAGCAAACUCAAAAGGGUUGUCCCCAUGAAGAAGCCAGCAACUAUGCAUUUGACUUUUUCCAGCUUGGCUCAUUCCCAGAUGUUCAGGAUUUAGAUUCCUGCAGUCUUCAGCAUUUAACUAAUUCUUUGUUGGUGGAAGGGGCUGGGACUGUUUCUCCACACAUAAACUGAUCCUGAGACAGAACAAGAAAUUACAUUAAUCAUAGAGUGUCUGUGUCACAAACGCAUCAAUAGUAAAGUUCCAUUUUGUUACAGAAUCAAUCCAGCUCUGUUAAUUUAGUUUUUCUAUUGUUAUGUCACUUCAUCCUUGUUCAAAGAGUCAAUGUCGGGAACAGAAUUAUAAUCUUAAAAGUGCAUCAGUUUUUAGUCUUGAAUUCCUAUUUAAUAUAAAGCACCUUAUCUUAUAAACAAACAUGCUCAUCUUCACUACAAAGCAUCUACUUCCCAGGAAUCACAUUUAUAAAGACAUGUCACACCUUUUAAGUUUCCGUAUUAAUUACUACGUACACUAAAACUUCUCCACUUCAAUAUUUGGCCAUUCAAAUUCCUGUCUUCUUCAAAGUAAUUAC